rnacentral:rRNA from 1 species
CAGGAUGAACGCUAGCUACAGGCUUAACACAUGCAAGUCGAGCGGAACACCUUCGGGUGUUUAGCGGCAGACGGGUGAGUAACACGUAUCCAACCUUCCCUUACUCGGGUAUAGCCUCGGGAAACUGAGAGUAAUCCCCGAUGUGGUGCACUGAAAGCAUUUUUCGCGCACGAAAGAUUAAUCGGUAAGGGGUGGGGAUGCGUUCCAUUAGGUAGUAGGCGGGGUAACGGCCCACCUAGCCGAUGAUGGAUAGGGGUUCUGAGAGGAAGGUCCCCCACAUUGGAACUGCGACACGGUCCAAACUCCUACGGGAGGCAGCAGUGAGGAAUAUUGGUCAAUGGGCGAGAGCCUGAACCAGCCAAGUAGCGUGCAGGAAUGACGGCCCUAUGGGUUGUAAACUGCUUUUGUGCGGGAAUAACGGUCGCCACGUGUGGUGAUGUGCAUGUACCGUACGAAUAAGGAUCGGCUAACUCCGUGCCAGCCGCGGC